rnacentral:lncRNA from 1 species
GGAAGGCAUAAUUUGUUUUGAAAUGAGAUUUGGCAAGGGCCAGGGGCAGAAUGAUAUGCUUUGGUUGUGUACCCACCCAAAUCUCAUCUUGAAUUCCCACAUGUUGUGGGAGGGUCCUGGUGGGAAGUAAUUGAGUCAUGGGUGUAGGUCUUUCCCAUGUUGUUCUUGUGAAAGUGAAUACGUCUCACAAGGUCUGAUGGUUUUAAAAAGGGUAGUUUCCCUGCAGAAGCUCUCUCUUUGCCUGCUGCCAUCCAGAUCCUUCUUAGAAAUUCCUAAGGCUCAAUGCUGUGUGGAAGAUUCUGAGAAAGAAAAUAGUUUCCGAUCUUUGGGAUUCCCGAGAUGGUCCAAUCUGCAAAAAGUUCAUUGCCAUUUCCAUCAAGGACACUGAGAACAAGAGUCUUAUCCGGAUUGGAUCCUGGGAAUUGAGAAGCUUCAGCAGGGCUUCCGCUGGGACUAGGAUCAGGAUGUGGACACCCCCAACCUGGACCGUCUGGCCGGGGAGGGCGUCAAGGCCAAGUACCUCAUGCCGCCCCUUGUCACAAUGACCUCCCCGUCCCACCUCACUGCCAUCCCAGAUCCUCGGUGGAGCUUACAUGCCUGGGCGAGCACCAGCCUUUGUUUAAAGGCAACAGAGAAUUGUGGCCUGGCUCAGAUCUCCAGCAAGCCUCCAGAAUGAUGGUCCACUCUCUGAACCCAGGGCCAAGGCAGCAGGAGCUUUUGGUGCACAUGGGGGCUUACCCCACUUUGAGUCCCAGCUACUCAGGAGGCUGAAGCAGGAGGGUCGCUUGAGUCCAGAAGAUCAAGUCUGUGGCGAGAAGUGAUUGCACCACUGCACUCCAGCCUGGACAACAGAGCAAGCCCUGUCUCAA